rnacentral:rRNA from 1 species
GAUGAACGCUGGCGGCGUGCCUAAUACAUGCAAGUCGAGCGAACAGACGAGGAUCUUGCUCCUCUGACGUUAGCGGCGGACGUGUGAGUAACACGUGUAUAACCUACCUAUAAGACUGGGAUCACUUCGGGAAACCGGAGCUAAUACCGUAUAAUAUAUUGAACCGCAUGGUUCAAUAGUGAAAGUCGGUUUUGCUGUCACUUAUAGAUGGAUCCGCGCCGCAUUAGCUAGUUGGUAAGGUAACGGCUUACCAAGGCAACGAUGCGUAGCCGACCUGAGAGGGUGAUCGGCGACACGGGAACGGAGACACGGUCAAGACUCCUACGGGAGGCAGCAGUAGGGAAUGUUCCGCAAUGGGCGAAAGCAUGACGGAGCAACGGCGCGUGAGUGAUGAAGGUCUUCGGAUCGUAAAACUCUGUUAUGAGGGAAGAACAAAUGUGUAAGUAACUAUGCACGUCUUGACGGUAACUAAUCAGAAAGCCACGGCUAACUACGUG